rnacentral:misc_RNA from 1 species
ACGAGUUAGGGUCUUUCCGGCCCGACCUCUCAACCCUGUGUUUACUGAACCUUUGUUGCUUCGGCGGGCCCGUCUCACGACCGUCGGGGGACCGUAAGACGUUCUCUGACCCGUGUCCGCCGGUGGCCAAACUCAACAAACUCUGGUUUAAAAUGUGUCAUGGUCUGAGUACAAUUUUUAAUUAAAAGUA